CCUACGGGAGGCAGCAGUGAGGAAUAUUGGUCAAUGGACGAGAGUCUGAACCAGCCAAGUAGCGUGAAGGAUGACUGCCCUAUGGGUUGUAAACUUCUUUUAUAUGGGAAUAAAACGUUCCACGUGUGGGAUUUUGUAUGUACCAUAUGAAUAAGGAUCGGCUAACUCCGGGCCAGCAGCCGCGGUAAUACGGAGGAUCCGAGCGUUAUCCGUAUUUAUUGGGUUUAAAGGGAGCGUAGGUGGAUUGUUAAGUCAGUUGUGAAAGUUUGCGGCUCAACCGUAAAAUUGCAGUUGAAACUGGCAGUCUUGAGUACAGUAGAGGUGGGCGGAAUUCGUGGUGUAGCGGUGAAAUGCUUAGAUAUCACGAAGAACUCCGAUUGCGAAGGCAGUUCACUGGACUGCAACUGACACUGAGGCUCGAAAGUGUGGGUAUCAAACAGGAUUAGAUACACUUGUAGUC
rnacentral:rRNA from 1 species